CUUCGAAUGCAGGUCCCAAGGGCUGAUAAUAUGGUCAGGGAUUGACCUGUAGAGGGGUCCUCUUACAGGCACUGAGAGGGACAUGGGGACAUGAAUGCUCCUGAUGUGAGCUCCAAUGAUGCUGACCUGCUAUGAGCUCUCAAAUUGAAGGACAAGCCUUGAUCCUCUUGGCCCAGAAGCAGGGGGCUGAUCACAAUGACCCCAGUUCCUCUGCUGCUGUAUUACAUCCCAGCUGGAUGGAGCACUUCCCUUCCAGGGGAAGGUGGCUGAGGCAGAAGCAGGGUGUGAGAAACUACUGAUGCCAGCUGGCUCUUGUCCUCAGAAGCACUCUGAAAUUAGCUUACCUGCUUGUUUAACCAAAGAGAAUGUAAGU